rnacentral:rRNA from 1 species
GCAAGUCGAGGGGUAACAUUGGUGCUUGCACCAGAUGACGACCGGCGCACGGGUGCGUAACGCGUAUAGAACCUACCUUUUACAGGGGGAUAGCCUUUAGAAAUGAAGAUUAAUAUCCCAUAGUAUUGCUUUUUGGCAUCAAGAAGUAAUUAAAGAUUUAUCGGUAAAAGAUGGCUAUGCGUCCUAUUAGUUAGAUGGUAAGGUAACGGCUUACCAUGACGUCGAUAGGUAGGGGUCCUGAGAGGGAGAUC